UGAAUUAGGAGCCCCGUGACCCGCCCCUCACCUGGCUUUUAACAGCUCUUCUCUAACCGCCCUCAGCGUGUUUGGGUCUUCUGAGUUGGGUCUACGCUGGGUGUCCUACAGUUAAUGCUGCACUUUCCUUCACCACAACAUUAGCUUUUCUGCGAGCAGUCCCUGGAACUCUGAACAGAUUGUGCCUGAUUGGAAGAGUCCAUCAUCACUUCCAAUAUGGUGAAACUGAGAUCCAGAGCAGUUAAGUACCUGAGGCGAAAUACGAAAAAGGGAUGCAUGUGAAAUCAGUUUCAGGAAAUAGACACAUUCCUUAUUUUUGGCCUUUAUUGUGUAAACUGAGGACUGUUCUUAUUGGUUUGAAGAAUUUCCAGACUUGGUAAACUCUAAGUGGAUUGCCGUGUAUUACUGAACCUCUAGGGGUUUUGUUUUCAUGUGAUAGAGCCCUUAGAAGAUUUAAAGGCAUCUUUCUGCGCUACAUCUGGAUCCAGUCUGCUCACUCAGAGGUCGGAAACUCCAUGACUGAGCAAGAGUGUAAACAUCCAAAUCCAAGGCAUAAUAUCUGUUAAUUCUCAACAAUUAGUUCUAACCAUUACCUGAUGGAACAAAAGAGUGUCAAUAUUAGGACUCUGAAUAGGAUCAUAUACUUGACUCAUGCAAAAGGAUAUAAUUUGGCAUACAAAAUGUUGAACACAAAAGUGGAUGUAGAACAAAAGACACUGGGCAAGUUGUGAGGUUUAAUUAACAAGAUAAAUGCAGAGGAGUAGCAGCAGUAUAGCAUUACCUAUAAGUGGUGAUGAGAAUUUCACACUAGGCUGUCUGUGACUGCCUUGGUGAGAACUUUGUUAACUGGCUUGUACUGGUGUCAGACAACCAGAGGGCUCCUCUCAGCUGUCAAUUUCCCUAAUGAAAGAGAAGAACAUGCACUAGAUUUCUGUAUUGACUUUUUGAUAACCACUGCAGCCCUCUAGGUGCCAACCUAUAAAUACUUUUGAAAACAGGGUUGAGUCUCUUUCAUAUUGCCUCUUUUAAUCUAGUCACACCAAUAUCAUACAAAUAAUUAGAGCAGAACUUCAGUAACAAAGUAUGCUUUUGACUGUAACAAUCUAAAAUUUAACUUUAUUAUGUACCUUUAUAUGGUUUUAUGUGGAAAGUUGGAGAGGGUGCCAUGCUUGAGCAAAAUCUUGUCUGAAAUGUUUGAUUUAUACAGAUUCCUUCCAUAACAAUUACAUGAUUUUUAAAAAUUAAACUACCCUUCUUUGCCAAGAUGAUAGCAAUCUUUUUUAGUCCAUCUUACAAUUUGUCUCUAAAGUGUCUGUCUUCCUAAUAUGCUGAUCAUUAGAGUAAUGCAUAUUUGAUGAAAAUGGGUAAUAAAUUAUAUUUCAAAGUCUAUUUCUAGGCAUAGAUUGAUGUACAUAUUGUUUUGUCUGCUGUGUUUAAUGGCCAUGCCUUACAUAUCUAGGUUUUAGCAAUACCUGCUGAGGAGUAAAUGAGAACUGACCUGUUUUGAAAUCCUUUUCUGGAAGUAAAUUUCUCAUCCUGUUACUUUGGGGGCUGGGGAGGAAAUUUGGCACACAUAUUGUCAUUCAUUUGCAAAUGCAAAGUCACCACUUGACAGCCUAUUCACUCUGAGGAGGACACAGUCUAUCAAACAAGAUCAAGGGUACUUUUUAUAGACUCACAAGCCACUCUCUUUAUGUACAUACAUAAAAGGAGCUGAUAAAAAUAGAAUUUCUCUCACUGGAAAAAGUCCCCUAAGUAAAAAUACCCAGUUCUAUGAAAUUUAUUGAUCAUAAAGGGGAAGUACUCUAGCAAAAGAACCACUAAGUGACUCAGGUUGUAUUGAUACAUAACACAAAUAGAGCUUGGGAAACUCUCUUGAGCACUCUUUUGGGAAAAACCAGUUCAGACAAAGUCUUUCUUAAUGAGCACUUUAGCCAUUCGGAUAUCACUUUCAGAGAGCCACUUGGCUGUUUGCUGAGGGAUACUAAACCCCUGGGAAAGGCAAGACUCCACUUGGGCCAGUCUGCCUGUACUAGUGUACAUGGAAGCCUAUAUGAAGCCCCAGAAACAUGACCCUGCUCACUCUUGGGCUCUGAUCCCCCUAGGUCCCAGCCGUAGGUCAGCAUGACCAUUGGUGAGAUGAUAUGGCAGCAAAGUGGAAAAUAUAUCAGUCUUACCAAUUGUCUGACCCAAUUUUCAAUUUUUCUUUCUAGUAGCACCUAUUCACUUUUUUUCUUUAUAGGAAUAGUCUGUGAGUUCAAGUAUUAUAGAGUUGUUGGGUUCACUUGUUUCCUCCUUUCCUGCUGACUUUUUUUUUUUUUUUGGAAAAUUUAGAAUAUGUUAAAUAAAGGACCGUCUACAUUUAUGUUCAGGAAAUAAUAAAAAGGAUAGAAGAAGCAAAAAAAAAAAGUCAAAUCUUGUGGAAAUAGAUAAUAAGACCAAUAUAUAAAUUAAAUCUGAGAAAUGGUCACCUACAUACUAGGUUUAAAUAGGUCAUCUUAACAUUGCUUCAAAUUCUAAAAUAUCUGAAAGCUGUCAAGGACUUUCUACUUUGACUGCCAAAAAUAAGAUAGGCAGGUAAACUUUUUUAUUUUUUUCCUUUUGAAAAGAUGUCCUCUUUCUUAAUUCUGGUUUAAUCCUUAGAUAAAGAAGUACUUUGGUGAAUAAGAUGUUGGAUAUUAUUAUUAUUCUGGGAUCCUUCCAUAAAAUUGUUUCCAAACAUGAGUUAAUAAUGUCCUCUGGUCUAUCUUUAGCCAUUUACUGUUCUCUUUUUAGCUACUUUUGCUUCUUUGGCCUAUAAGCCGCUGGAAAUAUCAUAGAUUCCAAGGACAUUUUUCUUUUCAUCCAUCUUAAUGUAAUGGUUUGAGACAGUCAAAUUCAUUCUUCAUUUGUUGGUAUUCACUUAUUUACUAACCUUUCUCAAUCAUAGUCAAUUUCCACUUUUCAAUUAGUCCUUCAACAAAUCAUAUUAAAAAUUAUAUGUUUACUAUUAAUACAUGUCAAAUACUAAGUGCUAUAAUGAAUUUCAGAAAAGUCUAAUAUUGUUCCGGUUUUUAAUGGGUACACUCUCAUAUUUAACUCUAUCUUGGCCAUGGCAUUGAUUCUCUGAAAAUCCAAAGUGUUAUACUGUAAAUUCACAAAAAUCAGACCUAUGUACAUUCUCAAAGUGUGUACCAUAA